GGGUGUGGUGGAGCGUAUUUUGAGCAUAGUUGUAAACCCGAGACUGGGGAUACGGACAAGGGACAAAACACAGAACGACACGGACUUCGUCCGUGUCGUUCUGUGUUUUGUCUCUUGUCCGUAUCCCCAGUCUCGGGUUUACAACUAU
rnacentral:SRP_RNA from 1 species